GUUUUGGAACUGUCAGGUACCUCAAAGCGUAAAAUGUGCUGUAAAGAAGAGUUGUCAAUUGUGCACAGAAGAUAAGAAAUGUGUUUGGUGUAGUGAAGAAAAAGCAUGCAAAAAAUACUGUUUUCCCUAUUUCGGUUGUCGAUUCAGUUCUAUAUAUUGGUUAAACUGUAAAGUUGACAUGUUUGGAAUCAUGAUGCUUCUACUCAUUGCAGUAUUAAUUACAGGAUUCGUUUGGUACUGCUGCGCCUAUCACUUUUACCUGCAGGAUUUGAACAGAAAUCGUGUCUAUUUUUAUGGAAGACGAGAAACAGUUCCUAUUCACGACCGCAGUGCUACUGUAUAUGAUGAAUAGAUAAUUGAAAAGAGAUCCUCCAGAAAGAGCAGAAGGAAGUUUCUUCAAUGGCUUCCUUCAGGAUUUUAAUCAUCCUUACAGCCUCUUUGAGAAUGAUUGAACUUCCAAAUUCCCUGAAGUUAAAAUUUUAAAUUCUAUUAAACAUUUUUUCGAGUAUUUCAUUACUUUUACAUUA
rnacentral:lncRNA from 1 species